rnacentral:misc_RNA from 1 species
GCCUCAUGUUCACUGCUUUGCUUUUAGAUUCUUUGCAGCAGGGAUGGCUAUAGAGUACAACAGGUGGAUCAUCAGUGUGUUAUUGGUGCCAGUGGCAGGAGUUGAUGUGCCACUUUUCUUUUGUUUUUUUGAAUGGACUACAGAAAAAUGUUGCUACAUUUUGUUGGAUUACGACAGAACAUUGUGUUGUGGACAUAAUAACUUUU